AUUGUCAGUUUCUGGAUAGCAAUCUAUGCAACCAAAUUGCUGAGACUCAGUGCUGGGGAGGAGCAUCCUAGCACGUGUCCUCCUUCUAAAAUGUCAGUGGCAGGCUCAACCCAAGGAAGUUCCUGAUUCUUCAACUCCCCAGUUGUCACAGAACUUCACAUGUUCUCUGAUGUCACCUGGCACUGGCUUAGGGAACCUGGUGCAAGGUCUCAAGGAAAUCACUGUACAUAUCCCCUGAGAAAGGUGCAGAUUUGCGUUGGAGACUCUGAUUCUCUGAGACCCCGGAGAGAUGUCUUACCAAGGACAGCAAUGCAAGCAGCCCUGCCAGCUGUCUCCUGUGCUUAUAAAUAAGUGUCCAGAUCCCUGCCCUCUACUGAGGUGAGGUGUCCAGAGCCCUGUCCUCUACCAGGGUGCCCAGAGUCUUAUCCUGAACUACAAAGUCUUGGUUCCUGCUCACCACAGCGGCAUCAGGGGCUCCGCCUUUCACCUGAGCUGUGUCCUUCCCUGAGGUGCCCGGAUCCAUGUCAGCCUGCUCCCUGCCUACUUGUGCAAUGUGCUCUUCCACCAUGCCAGCAGAAGUGCCCACUCAAGAGCAAGUAACAUCGGGACCCCAAGACAACGAUUUCCUGUGGCUCCGCUUACUCUCUGGAUUCUAUUGCCUUUCUUCAACCGUGGUGGCAGACACAUCUUCUCUCACCCCCGACUUGGGUUCUGCCUGAGAGAGGGAGUGCUUCACUCCCGACAUCACAUGUUAAGAAAUGAAAAGCAGAACCAUCACCUUGGCUUUGAUCUCAGCCAGUGUUUUCUUUUCUGUGGCCAAGGGUAUCUAUACUCUUCCUUCUCCAAUAAAGCACAUGGUUCCUGGUUAA